rnacentral:tRNA from 1 species
UCAGUAGCACAAUUGGUAGUGCAGCGGUCUCCAAAACCGCAGGUUGGGGGUUCGAGUCCUCCCUGGC